rnacentral:lncRNA from 1 species
CUCUUCAUUAUUCUCUUGCAUUCUUGCUUUUAGCCAUUAGCUUUGAAUUAAUUUUACUCUCCCUAUUUAUUUAGCUAUUGUCAAAUAUUUUUCAUAAGUCAUAAGUUAAGCUUAAAAUUUUUAGAAACCCAAUUCACCCCCCCCCUCUUGGGUUGCAUAGCUGGGCAACAAGUGGUAUCAGAGCCCGGUGCUCUAACCCUACUUUGAUCUAAUCAAUCAAAGAGCCAAAGAUCUAUGGCAACUCAAGUCGGCACUUCUCUAGCCGAGGGGCAAUCCACUAACCGA